AAGAAGCUUCCAGUGCAUGUAGGGUCUGGGUUCAGAAUUGCCAGAACAUUACUUCUACUGCACUGUUGAUCAAAGCAAGUCACAAGACCAGCCCUGAGUCAGGGAAAGGAAGUACUUUCUACUUCUUGAUAGGAGGAGCAUUGCACACACUGGGAGAGAUGAAUUAACAAUGGUCCUCUUUGGAGACUACCUACCCCAGAGGUGGCUCAGUGGUAAAGCAUCUGCCUACCAAGCAGGAGACACAGGUUUGAUCCCUGGGUCGGGAUGUAGUUCAAUCCCUGGAGUAGGAAAUGCAACCCACUCCAGUAUUCUUGCCUGGGAAAUCCCUGGGACAGAGGAGCCUGGCAGCUUGUAGUCCAUGGGGUUGCAAAAGAAUCAGACACGGCCUAGUGACUAAACAACAAUAUCUUAGUAUAUAUCCUCCCAAGGACCUAGUGAUAUAAAUAUGAAUAAUCAUCCUUAUCUCUAGCAGUCAAAUUUUAGACACUUUUAUAAAACUCAAAAUUUGUACACAUUUUUUUAUGCGUCCCAUUUAGUGACACUUAUACCGCUGUUCCAGUAAUCCCACUUCUAAAGAAAAAACUAGAAUGAUAAGAAUAACAUUAGCUCUUAUAAAUUGAAUUUUAAUUGUGUACCAAGGGUACUGUACACACAUUAACUCACUGAAUUCUUACACCCAGCCUACAAGGCAGAUAACAUCAUCCCUCACUCAAGGUCAGAGAAGCGAAGGACCUCGGGCAGGGUGCUCUGCUAGCAGGUGGGUCUAGAGCUGGAGCUCUGUAUGAGGGAAGGAACCCCAGAAAAAAGUAUCAUCCACUUGGCCUCUCCAAGAGGAGUGUAUGCCUUAUCCCAGGGUCUCCUGUCCUCCCCAAUUGCUCCAAAGGUCCUGGACAGGAGGAAUGUGGCCAAAGUCUUGCCCUCGCCUUCGAGAGUGGGGGGCAGCAGAUGACCGUGCCUGUGUGCCUCCCACUGUCUAGUUUUCAGCUCUUUUUUAAAAGCACUUCUUCCAGCAAGCCUUCCCUCAAUCUCUCAGACCAAUUCUGUCUCCCCUUUCUCUGUUCUUUCGUGGGACUGGAGCCACCUCAGUGAAGCUUGCAGGAGAUUCUAUUGCCUCUCCCUGUGUCACUGUGUCUCUCAAAAUACGUUCUUAGGGUCCCCAAUCAGAAUUCCCUGGAGAGGUGUUAAAAGGGCAGACCAACUGGAUCAGAUUCUCUAGCGGGGGGUGGGGCCCAAGAAUCUACCUGUCGUAAGCAUUUAGGGGUGCCCGUGGCACAUUUGAGUCUGUGGGGUGGGGGGACACUACACUGGCGUGGAUGCCUCCUCCGAGCAGGGACUGUCCCAUUGCUCUUUGAGUUCCCCUCGACCCUUAGCGCAGGGAGAUACAGCAGACAGUAGUGUUUGGUGGAUUCAUCAUAGAGAUGUAUUUUGAGAGGAAGGAAAUGAAAGUAGAGGAGGUGGAAAACGUGGGAUUGUGGGUGUGGAAUAACUGAAGAGGGUGUAAUUUGAGAGCUUUUAUAGAAGAGUAAAUGAGAUGGGAAAUCUUUGGGCUGAUUGGGGUCCUUUGAGUGCUGCCAAUAGAUAUUUGGUCAAUAUCUCCUUUUUACUCCCACAGAUAUUAAUACAUACUUUAGUCCCAGGGAUUUUUUUUUUUUUAAUCUGGACUUUCAAUGCCAGAAUGAGUAAUUGUGUAUAAAGUGGGUCACAAGGAAGUGAUAACUAAUGCACAGACUAUUUUAACUGCUGAAUCAGAAAUCUCUAUGCUACAUUAUGAAAUAUGCAGGAAGGAAAAUAAGCAGAUGAUAGGAGUGAAAGCAAUCCUAAAAUAAUAUUUUCACAAACAGAUCCUAGCCCAACAUACGCCUGAGGGAUGAGGGGAGGGGAG
ensembl:lncRNA